rnacentral:rRNA from 1 species
UCGGGUUGUAAAGCCCUUUUGUUGGGAAAGAAAUCCNGCUGGCUAAUACCCGGUUGGGAUGACGGUACCCAAAGAAUAAGCACCGGCUAACUUCGUGCCAGCAGCCGCGGUAAUACGAAGGGUGCAAGCGUUACUCGGAAUUACUGGGCGUAAAGCGUGCGUAGGUGGUCGUUUAAGUCCGUUGUGAAAGCCCUGGGCUCAACCUGGGAACUGCAGUGGAUACUGGGCGACUAGAGUGUGGUAGAGGGUANCGGAAUUCCUGGUGUAGCAGUGAAAUGCGUAGAGAUCAGGAGGAACAUCCAUGGCGAAGGCAGCUACCUGGACCAACACUGACACUGAGGCACGAAAGCGUGGGGAGCAAACAGGAUUAGAUACCCUGGUAGUCCACGCCCUAAACGAUGCGAACUGGAUGUUGGGU